ensembl:lncRNA
GGCAUUGAGGUGACCACAUACUGGUAAAGUAACUUCUAGAAAGUUUUUACACGAUGAUUUUCACCGCUUGUCAGCUCUUCCAGGAAAUGGUAAUGCGCUACAGUAGUCGCUAAUAUCAUUCGUUUUUGUGUAUUAUGUUUAUUUAAAAAUAUAUAUAACUAUAACUACCCAGAUAGGUCACAUACGUCUUGCCGAUGUCGGCAUUAGAUCGGAAGAUCGAGAGCGGUUUAGAGUGUCGAGUGGAGGUCGGCUUUACGUGUGAACAAUUAUAUGGGCUGUUAUAUGGGUUUACUUUGUACAAUCCUGCGCGGUCUUUUUCGUGGCCAUUUAUUUCCUGACCUAGGUCCUAUUCGGACCUUAUCCGGCGACAAAAUAUUUUUCAUAGGACAUAAGAAUAGUUUCACAAGAUUGCAGAGCAGUGGGAGAAGUCAUGUGUGACAUCAGACCUCAACACUGACUAGGAGCAAGAAUGCCAAAGAGGCGGACAGCAUAUCAAUAUCCGGUCAUCACCCUCCUCAACAGCCUCAGGAGGAGGAAGAUCAUCUUCCUUCCAACACAUCUCAACCUCUCCACUAAAAAGCCAUCCAGAUCCAAGUUCCAGGCCAGACCAGACCAGCAUCUGAAAGGAAUUAACUUAAAUAGACAUGGUGAUUAACCUACCAAAACACAGG